CCUACGGGUGGCUGCAGUGGGGAAUCUUCCGCAAUGGGCGCAAGCCUGACGGAGCAACGCCGCGUGAAUGAAGAAGGUCUUCGGAUCGUAAAGUUCUGUUCUUAGGGAAGAAGUCUUUUCUUGUGAAUAAUGGGAGAAGGUGACGGUACCUAUGGAGAAAGCUCCGGUUAACUACGUGCCAGCAGCCGCGGUAAUACGUAGGGAGCGAGCGUUGUCCGUAAUUACUGGGCGUAAAGGUCGCGUAGGCGGGAACUUAAGUUAGAUGUGAAAACUCCGGGCUCAACCUGGAGACUGCAUUUAAAACUGGGUUUCUUGAGGGCAGGAGAGGAAAGUGGAAUUCCUAGUGUAGCGGUGAAAUGCGUAGAUAUUAGGAGGAACACCAGUGGCGAAGGCGACUUUCUGGACUGUACCUGACGCUGAGGCGCGAAAGCAUGGGGAGCGAACAGGAUUAGAUACCCCAGUAGUC
rnacentral:rRNA from 1 species